GACGAACGCUGGCGGCGUGCUUAACACAUGCAAGUCGAACGAUGAAGCCUAGCUUGCUAGGUGGAUUAGUGGCGAACGGGUGAGUAAUACGUGAGUAACCUACCUUUAACUCUGGGAUAAGCCCGGGAAACUGGGUCUAAUACCGGAUACGACCAAUCUCCGCAUGGGGUGUUGGUGGAAAGCGUUAUGUAGUGGUUAUAGAUGGGCUCACGGCCUAUCAGCUUGUUGGUGAGGUAACGGCUCACCAAGGCGACGACGGGUAGCCGGCCUGAGAGGGUGACCGGCCACACUGGGACUGAGACACGGCCCAGACUCCUACGGGAGGCAGCAGUGGGGAAUAUUGCACAAUGGGCGCAAGCCUGAUGCAGCGACGCCGCGUGAGGGAUGACGGCCUCCGGGUUGUAAACCUCUGUUAGCAGGGAAGAAGAGAGAUUGACGGUACCUGCAGAGAAAGCGCCGGCUAACUACGUG
rnacentral:rRNA from 1 species